UGCGUAGACGGUCAUGUAAGUCGGGUGUGAAAGCCCCGGGCUCAACCUGGGAAUUGCACUCGAGACUGCAUAGCUAGGGUGCGGAAGAGGGAAGCGGAAUUUCCGGUGUAGCGGUGAAAUGCGUAGAUAUCGGAAGGAACACCAGUGGCGAAAGCGGCUUCCUGGUCCAGCACCGACGUUCAGGCACGAAAGCGUGGGGAGCAAACAGGAUUAGAUACCCUGGUAGUCCACGCCAUAAACGAUGAGAACUAGACGUUGAGAGGGUAAGCCUCGCAGUGUCGUAGCUAACGCGCUAAGUUCUCCGCCUGGGGAGUACGGCCGCAAGGUUGAA
rnacentral:rRNA from 1 species